AACGGAGAGUUUGAUCCUGGCUCAGGAUGAACGCUGGCGGCGUGCUUAACACAUGCAAGUCGAACGCACCUUCGGGUGAGUGGCGGACGGGUGAGUAACGCGUGGGAACCUGCCCUCAGGAGGGGGAUAACGGCUGGAAACGGCCGCUAAUACCCCAUAUGCCGAGAGGUGAAAUGAAAUUCGCCUGAGGAUGGGCCCGCGUCUGAUUAGCUAGUUGGUGGGGUAAAGGCCUACCAAGGCGACGAUCAGUAGCUGGUCUGAGAGGAUGAUCAGCCACACUGGGACUGAGACACGGCCCAGACUCCUACGGGAGGCAGCAGUGGGGAAUUUUCCGCAAUGGGCGAAAGCCUGACGGAGCAACGCCGCGUGAGGGAUGAAGGCCUCUGGGCUGUAAACCUCUUUUCUCAAGGAAGAAGAACUGACGGUACUUGAGGAAUAAGCCACGGCUAAUUCCGUGCCAGCAGCCGCGGUAAUACGGGAGUGGCAAGCGUUAUCCGGAAUUAUUGGGCGUAAAGCGUCCGCAGGUGGCCCUGUAAGUCUGUCGUUAAAGCGUGGAGCUUAACUCCAUUUAAGCGAUGGAAACUACAGGGCUAGAGUGUGGUAGGGGCAGAGGGAAUUCCCGGUGUAGCGGUGAAAUGCGUAGAUAUCGGGAAGAACACCAGUGGCGAAGGCGCUCUGCUGGGCCAUCACUGACACUCAUGGACGAAAGCCAGGGGAGCGAAAGGGAUUAGAUACCCCUGUAGUCCUGGCCGUAAACGAUGAACACUAGGUGUCGGGGGAAUCGACCCCCUCGGUGUCGUAGCCAACGCGUUAAGUGUUCCGCCUGGGGAGUACGCACGCAAGUGUGAAACUCAAAGGAAUUGACGGGGGCCCGCACAAGCGGUGGAGUAUGUGGUUUAAUUCGAUGCAACGCGAAGAACCUUACCAGGGUUUGACAUCCUGCGAAUCCCUUGGAAACGAGGGAGUGCCUUCGGGAGCGCAGAGACAGGUGGUGCAUGGCUGUCGUCAGCUCGUGUCGUGAGAUGUUGGGUUAAGUCCCGCAACGAGCGCAACCCACGUCGUUAGUUGCCAGCAUUCAGUUGGGCACUCUAGCGAGACCGCCGGUGAUAAACCGGAGGAAGGUGUGGAUGACGUCAAGUCAUCAUGCCCCUUACAUCCUGGGCUACACACGUACUACAAUGCUACGGACAAAGGGCAGCAAGCUCGCGAGAGUUAGCAAAUCCCAUAAACCGUGGCUCAGUUCAGAUCGUAGGCUGCAACUCGCCUACGUGAAGGAGGAAUCGCUAGUAAUCGCAGGUCAGCAUACUGCGGUGAAUACGUUCCCGGGCCUUGUACACACCGCCCGUCACACCAUGGAAGUUGGCCACGCCCGAAGUCGUUACUCCAACCCUUGUGGAGGAGGACGCCGAAGGUGGGGCUGAUGACUGGGGUGAAGUCGUAACAAGGUAGCCGUACCGGAAGGUGCGGCUGGAUCACCUCCUAA
rnacentral:rRNA from 1 species